rnacentral:rRNA from 1 species
UACGUCGGUGGCAAGCGUUGUCCGGAUUUACUGGGCGUAAAGAGCGCGCAGGCGGUCGUUCAAGUCGCGUGUGAAAGCCCCCGGCUCAACUGGGGAGGGUCACGCGAUACUGAUCGACUCGAAGGCAGGAGAGGGUAGUGGAAUUCCCGGUGUAGUGGUGAAAUGCGUAGAUAUCAGGAGGAACACCAGUGGCGAAGGCGACUACCUGGCCUGUUCUUGACGCUGAGGCGCGAAAGCUAGGGGAGCAAACGGG